rnacentral:rRNA from 1 species
GACGAACGCUGGCGGCGUGCUUAACACAUGCAAGUCGAACGGUGAAGCCUAGCUUGCUUGGUGGGUUCGUGGCGCACGGGGGUGUAAUACGCGAGUGACAUACCCUUGUCUCUGGGAUAAGCCUGGGAAAAUGGGUGUCAUAUCGGAUACGAGCAAUCUCCGUGUGGGGUGUUGGUGGAAAGGGUUAGGGGGUGGUUUUGGAUGGGCUCACGGCUUAUCAGCUUGUUGGUGAGGUAGUGGCUUACCAAGGUGACGACGGGUAGCCGGCCUGAGAGGGUGACCGGCCACACUGGGACUGAGACACGGCCCAGACUCCUACGGGAGGCAGCAGUGGGGAAUAUUGCACAAUGGGCGCAAGCCUGAUGCAGCAACGCCGCGUGAGGGAUGACGGCCUUCGGGUUGUAAACCGCUUUUGGCUGUGACGAAGCGAGAGUGACGGUAGUGGCAAAGGAAGCACCGGCUAACUACGUG